UUUCCGUAGGUGAACCUGCGGAAGGAUCAUUCAUAAUAAAGUGUUUUAUGGCACUUUUUAAAAAUCCAUAUCCACCUUGUGUGCAAUGUUAGAUCUCGUCAAUCUUGGCGAGAUUUUUAUACAUCAACUCAUUUUUUAACUAAUUUGUCUGAAAAAUAUUCUGAAUACUUAAUUCAAAAUACAACUUUCAACAACGGAUCUCUUGGCUCUC
rnacentral:misc_RNA from 1 species